rnacentral:rRNA from 1 species
UCCGUAGGCGGUGCGGCAAGUCGGAAGUGAAAUCUCAGGGCUUAACCCUGAGGCUGCUUCCGAAACUGCCGUGCUCGAGUGCGAGAGAGGCGAGUGGAAUUGCAGGUGUAGCGGUGAAAUGCGUAGAUAUCUGCAGGAACAUCCGAGGCGAAAGCGGCUCGCUGGAUCGCAACUGACGCUGAGGGACGAAAGCUAGGGGAGCAAACAGGAUUAGAUACCCUGGUAGUACUAGCCCUAAACGAUCAGGACUGGGCGUGGGCCUCGUACGGGGCUCGUGCCGCAGCUAACGCGUUAAGUCCUGCGCCUGGGGAGUACGGUCGCAAGGCUGAA